CUUGGGAGAUGUGUUUCCUCUCAUUGAGAGACUUCUGAGAAUCACUUGGCUAAGCCUGAGUUCAGCACUGACUAAGCCCCAGGCACCUUCCGGAGCAUACUUUAAACAGCACGUCACCCUUUCUUCCUUUCUGCCAGACCUAAGGCAGGCAGCCCUCGGCAGAGAGCUCUUGCCCACUCUUCCUCUACUGAGAAGUGGGUGCUCUGCCCUUCUCACUGAGACCUGUGACCCUCAGCGCUGGGCUGGGAUUGGGAAGUUCAGUGUAGCCAGCUCUGAGUUCUCCCCUCACACCAAACUUCCUGCUUCUCUGGAUUUGAGUCACCGCCUGCCUCGGAGCUCACCGCAGGCUUGUUCUGGUCUUGAGGGCAGGAUGUUCUCUACAGCUUCAACCCCAUGAUAGGAGGAAACAGCUGUCCCUGCCGCAAGUCUCGGUCACAGGAAGGAAAGAGGACCCAGAACACGGAAUGUGAUUAAUGGUGAACACUUGUGAAGUUUUCAUACUGCAGCCAACCUCUGCCAUCUGUAAUCACAAGAUCUUCAGAUAGCUUCGGACUCAGUGGAUAUUUAAACAACAGACACAGGCCACGUGUAAGUGAUCAAUUGACAGCACAGACUAGGUCUUCACAGAGCUUUGGCCUCAGAGUGGAAGAAAUACUUUCCCAAUAGCACACAGAAAGUUAGUUAUAAGGCUAUGGGAGGAAAGAGACAGGACCAAACACACAGACAGCAGGUGCCACUGGGCCCAAAGCAGGCGUCCACCCCCUACCCCUUCACCCCACCCUCACCCCAUCCCCCACCCCCACCACAGCCGGUCUGAACAGUGGUUCGGAGGGGGCUCCUCUCUCAGCAGACAACUCAGUGUUGAGAACGACGUGAACAUCAAGAUAAACUAGCUUGAGAUCAUAUUAUACGCAACCCAGUUCUCAAAAACAAGUCAGAGUACGAAGCCACUAUAGAGUCAUAGGGAAACAGAAGUAUAUCUGUUCAGCUUUGCUGAGUGCAGUCUGGCAGCCUGUGUACAGGGCCACGGUACCCUGAUGGCCCACUGUGGGAAAUAUUCCCAACAAAGACACAGUGGUGUUGGGAGCAAUGUGCUUUUAAGGAGAAGAACAUGAAGGAAAACCACCUGAUAUUAAAAUAUGAACGAAGAAUCUACGGCUGUGUGAAGUGUACCCAUUAAAAAUGGCAAGGAUGUGUGGCAUCCUGCAGGUGAGGGGUAACCAGAUAGCAGAGGCCAGGCCAGGAAAUGCUAGGGCAUAGCUUAUGUUCACUAACAUAUGGAAAACUGCAAGUUUAGAGCUGUAUAGGGUAGAGACUGUAAUGUGUAAAUAUACUUUUAUGCUCACAACUAAUUUUUGGAGUAAUUCCAAGUGUGUAAAAGUUAUAAAAAGAACUUUCACACUCCCCACUAGAUUUCCACCAUAAAUGUUUUACACCAUUUUUCUUAUAAUUUUCUGUCAUUAUCUAUCUAUCUAUCUACCUAUCAUAUCUAUCAUCAUCUAUCUAUCUAUCUACCUAUCAUAUCUAUCUAUCAUCAUCUAUCUAUCUAUCUACCUAUCAUAUCUAUCAUCAUCUAUCUACCUAUCAUAUCUAUCUAUCUAUAUCUAUCUAUCAUCAUCUAUCUCUAUCUAUCUAUCUAUCUAUCUAUCUAUCUAUCUAUCUAUCUAUCUUCCUGUCUACCUGCCUACCUAUCUUCCUGUCUACCUAUGUGUAAGUGUAGCAUAUGUAUAUAUAUUCAUGCACAUAUGAGUGUAUUACUAAGGGAGCAUGCAUAUAUGUGAGUACAGGUGGAGUUCAGAGAUCAGUAUUGGGUGUCUUCAUCAAUUGCUCUCCACUUCAUUUUUGAGACUGGGUCUGUCUGUGAGCCUGCCUGGAUGCUGCCAUGUUUCCUGCUAUGAUGAUAAUGAACUGAACCUCUGAACCUGUAAGCCAGCCCCAAUUAAAUGUCUCUUCUAAGAGUAGCUUCAGUCAUGGUUCACAGCAGUAAAACACAAAUUAAGACAGAAGUUGGUACCAGGGUUGGGAUAUUGCUGUGAUAGGCCUGACCAUGCUAGUUUGGAAGAAUGUGGAUUUUGAGAUUUGGAAAGCAGUGGAAUGUUUUAAAUGGGACUUAAUGUUUUAAAUGGGGCUUAAUGGGCCAUCCUAGUAGGAACAUGGAAGACAUUGGUGCUCAGGGUGUGUAGACCUGGCCCAAGAGGUUUUAGUGGGAAAGAAUUUCAGCAUGUGGCCCAGAGACUAUUUUUGUGGUAUUUUGGUGAAGAAUGUGACUGCUUUUUGCCUUGUCUAAAGAGUCUACCUGAGGUUAUGGUUAGGAGAUUUAUAUUAAUUGCAUUGACAAAGGAAGUCUCAAAAAAGCUCAACUGAACACUGUUCUCCAGUUUAAUCUCAUGAAGAGUAUUCUGAUUAAGAUAGUAAGCUUAAAAAGAAAAAAAAAAAUACAAAAUGUAUGGUUCAAGUAAUCACAAAGGGGCACCAGGAAGUGGGAAGAAGCUUAGUCCUGUGUUCAUGGAUGUUAAAAGGAAUUAAGGGAGCGGUGACCUUGGGGCAAGAUUCCACCCAGCUACACUUAUGCUUUUGCAGUUCUAAAUCUUGAGGAAGAGUGGCCAUGACCAGCUUAGGCCCAGGCACAGUGGCACAGACCUUUAAUCUCGGGAGAGAAAGAGUUCAAGGCCAGUUUGGGACAGAGCAAGUUCCAAGUAAAGGUGUGGUUGUUCACACUUUUUAAUCAUAGAACUCAGGAGACUGAGCAUGAAGAUCUCGGAGUUCAAGGUCAAUCUACAGAUACAGAGCAAAUUCCUGGACAGCCAAGUUUAGGCAGCGAAGGAGUUAGAAAACAGAAAGCUGGUGAUGAUACAAUAGAACAAGGGCCAUGUUCCAGCCCCAGCAAGCAGCACAACUCGGCAGCUUCAGCCAUGUGGCUCUGGCUUUAGAGUCAAGAAUAGAAGAGAUUACUGGGACAAUUAAUGCCAGUUAGCUGGAGCUAAGAAAUUAGUGAUAAUUAAGAAGAGGCCAGCAUCACUGGAUUUGCUUGAAUUUGUUUGAAUUUGCUUGGCCCAGGGAAUGGCACUACUAGGAGGUGUAGCCUCGUUGGAGUAGGUGUGGCCUUGUUGGAGGAAGUGUGUCACUGUGGGGGUGGGCUUUGAGACCCUCCUCCUAACUGCCCAAGGACUGUUCACUCCUGGCUUCCAUUGGAUGAAGACAUAGAACUCUCAGGUCCUUCUCUAGCACCAUGCCUGCCUGGACACUGCCAUGCUUCCUGUCAUGAUGAUAAUGAACUGAACCUCUGAACCUGGAAGCUAACCCCAAUUAAAUGUUGUCUCUUCUAAAAGAUGCCUUGGUCACGGUGUCUGUUCACAGCAGUAAAAUCCAAACUAAGACAAGACUUGAGGGUGAAAUAAUGUAAUUUCCCACCAAAGACCUUGGAAAACCAGCUGCCGAAGAGACUGACCUUCCCCUUAGUCACCAUCAGCAGUAGACGUGAGGACUGAGGAGGUGUAGGAGGGAGGGACUCAGAUCCUUCAGAAAGAAUUUCCAAGGAAAAGGACAGUUUUGGAACAGCUUAGGCAGUGGGGAGGCUGGCUGUCUCUGGAACAGCACCUUUCUUGUCCUCAACAGCACUUGUCUGGUAGCAAGCCUCCCAUCCCAGUGGUGGACCCCUGCCACCAUUCCCAGUGGCAGGACCUCUCUAGAGCCCUAGGUGUAGGUAUGAGCUGAGGUCUGUCACAAUAAUAGAUGAUAGUCAUGGUUUUAAUGUCACCUCAGUGCUCACAUGCAUCAUCUACUGGACACUCAGUAUCCUUCCGUGAGGAACAGGAAGAUCAGGGCAUGCAGAUGCUGGUAAAAGUCUUUCCCUGCACCCAAGGGCCCUGCACUGCCAGCCCCAGUCCCACAGUGCCCUAGACUCUUCAGAGGACGUUGGGCUAUGGUCACACUGUCCUGUGGGGGAGGAAGCUGAGAUCAUUGUCUGCUUUCAAUACUUGCCCCUGAGUCACUGCCUGGGUGGGAAGGUGAAGCUCAGGUCAGCUGCAGCUGGCUUAGCUCCCUAGGCUCUAGAGGCUGCUGGCAGCAGCUUUCUGAGGGUGAAGGCAGGAACCCUCCUAGCUCUGCCACCUAGCCCAUGGCACCUGCCCACUGGGAUCUACUGUAGUGUGUAGUCUGCAGCCCCCAAAGUGCCUACUCUGGUCCUGCUGUCACCAUGGCUGGCAUCCUUGGCCCCUGCUCCUGCUGACGUGAAGCUGGGUGGUGCUCUGAGGGACUCACACAGGGAGUUUCCUCCCAAAGGCACAUCUUUAGCAAGUGUGGCCCACAGGACAGUCACAGCUGCUGAGACACAGAAAGAACACGGGGAAGCUCUGCCCCUGGUGUUAGGUCCUCCCUGGAGCAGGCAGGGCAGCUCUGCUACUGUUAUGAAUUGUAAUGUAAAUAUUUGAUGCGCAGGAUUAUCUGAUGCUUGACCCCUGUGA
rnacentral:lncRNA from 1 species